GCCGGGCAUGGUGGUGCACGCCUGUAGUCCCAGCUACUUGGGAGACUGAGGUGGGAGGAUCGCUUGAGCCCAGGAGUUCAAGGCUGCGGUGAGCUGGGAUGACGCCACAGCACUCCAGCCUGGGCGACAGAGCGAGACCUGUCUCUA
rfam:Nomascus leucogenys chromosome 3, whole genome shotgun sequence.